ACAAAUGGAAAUCCAGAGCUUGUGUCAUUAAAAUGACGAUGAAUGGCGCAUCUCGGUAUUUGUAAACACCCGUGUCUCACGCUCGAAGCGUCAACGUGUGUGUGUGUAUGUGUGUAUGUGUGUGUUUAUGAAGAUAUCUUUUCAUAAAUGAAUAACGUAUCAGAGUUGAGAUGGUCGUGCCAAGCAACGCUGGUAUCGUGAAAUAUACUACAGUACAUAUAUGAAUUUAUACAGCAUUAAUUCGAGCGGAAAGAGUCAAUUAUUCCUUACAAUAUUUGUAUUCGUGCUGAAAUUAAUCAUACCGUGACUAAGAGACUGCUAAACAUGUGAGAUAUGUCUGACUAAUAUCGAGCAAUCUGGAGAGAUAACGCGUAUCAAAAGGUGCGACUUUGUGCGCGACGAUUCUUUUUGUGCCUUAAGAUACUCCGCACUCUUUGCCACGCGACGUUCCUUCAUUUCUUGUCGUGUUUCUUUUUUCUUUUCAGAGUACAGUUUUCGUUCGUGAUAAUGUGCAAUUAUUGAAUUGACGCUUCAAAAGUGAUAAUGCUCCGGUCAUAUCGUACUGCGAAAUCACACUAAUACGAUAAUUACGAGGCGAUGACAGCUUCUCCGACACUUCCGCAUCUUACAGAUUAUAUAUCCAAUAAAUAGAUAAAUAUCUUCGAGGAAUUUAUCAGAUCACAACUCAUCAAUUUGUCGAAACUUUCUUUUCGUAAAAGUUUAUAAUAUCGAUUUUGCAAAAUGGGCCUGAAGUGGUUUCGAGCACGUUUAUCGCUAAAUAAGAAAGACGCGUAUAAAGUUUCAACAAUGACAGGUGUGUACAGGCAAGUUUCGUAUAUUGAAUCCAAUGCAUCGGCAAUACGGAAAAACGAUUACACGCUCUCAGCCGUGUCUUCUUCGAUUGCAAGUGAUUUAACGAGAAACGAAAGAAAACAACGUGCAAAAGAAGAUCCUACGAGUCAAUCACCGUCGUCGUCGUCGAAUAUUGAUUCGCAACGUAAUAACUAUGCAGUUAAAAAUGAGGAACCUACUGUAUCUAUCGAAGAUUCAAACUUGGUAAGACAGUCGUCGAUACACGAAGAACAAAUAAAUGAAGAUCGAAGCCAUAUUUCAAAUGAUCUUCUCGGCCAGGAAGCCGAAUUAGUAAUUUGAAAAGUGACCAAUGUUGCGAAAUUAUGUGUUGCGUAUUACAUGUGAAGGUAUUUCGAGGAAAACGUAUAUAUUCGUAUAGCAAUUCGGAUUCUUCUACUUAUUGUUCGCGUUAUUUAUAUAUAUAUAUAUAUAUAU